rnacentral:tRNA from 1 species
GGGAUUGUGGCUCAGUGGUAGAGUAUUCAUCUAACAUGUGCAAGGCACUGGGUUGGAUCCUCAGCACCCCA